GACGAACGCUGGCGGCGUGCUUAACACAUGCAAGUCGAACGGAAAGGCCCUGCUUUUGUGGGGUGCUCGAGUGGCGAACGGGUGAGUAACACGUAAGUAACCUGCCCUUGACUUUGGGAUAACUUCAGGAAACUGGGGCUAAUACCGGAUAGGAGCUCCUGCUGCAUGGUGGGGGUUGGAAAGUUUCGGCGGUUGGGGAUGGACUCGCGGCUUAUCAGCUUGUUGGUGGGGUAGUGGCUUACCAAGGCUUUGACGGGUAGCCGGCCUGAGAGGGUGACCGGCCACAAUGGGACUGAGAUACGGCCCAGACUCCUACGGGAGGCAGCAGUGGGGAAUAUUGCACAAUGGGCGGAAGCCUGAUGCAGCAACGCCGCGUGCGGGAUGACGGCCUUCGGGUUGUAAACCGCUUUCGCCUGUGACGAAGCGUGAGUGACGGUAAUGGGUAAAGAAGCACCGGCUAACUACGUG
rnacentral:rRNA from 1 species